CACUACCACUUGAGCCACAUCCCCAGCCCCUGUCAUUAUUUUUCAAGGUGGCUACACCAUUUAAUAUUCCCACUGGCAACGUAUGACAGCUUUAAAUUCUUUACCUUCUCACCAAAAAUUGUCAUUCUCCAUUUUAAAAAAUGAAUCAAGGCCAUCCUAGGACUAUGAAGUGGUAACGUAUAAUGGUCUUGAUUUGCAUUUCCCUAGUGACAGAUGACAGGGAGCAUCUGUUUGUUUGCUUCUGUGUUAUUUGUAUGUCUUCUUUAAAAAAAAGUCUACUCCAGUCCUUUGUCCAUUUUUAAAUUGGGCUACCUUCUGUCUUGUGCUGAGCUUCAAAUGUUCUUUAUGGAGCCUGGAUAAAACUCCUUAUCAGAGAAACAAUUUCCAAAUAUUUUCUCCCAAUUUAUAGGUGGACUUUUCAUUUUCUAGACAAUGUCCUCUGAAGCACAUGAGUUUUAAUUCUAAUGAAGUCUAAUUUAUUUUGUUUCUCUUUGGUUUUGGUUACUUUUGCUUUUGGUAUUAUCUAGGAAGUCAUUGCCUAAUUCAAAGAAGCAAAAUUUGGGGACUAUUUUCUUCUAAGUUGGUAAUAGUUUUAGUUCUUCCAUUUAGGUUUUUGAUCCAUUUUGAGUUAAUUUUUGCAUGUGAUGUGAGGAAAAUAAAAGAAUGCCCAGCUCCAUUCAUUGCAUAUAAAUAUUGUGGAAGGCCACCGUCGCACGUGAUCUGAGUGACCUCCCUGGCUGGGUGAGAGGCGCUUAGGCACAGCUGUGUCAGAGCUUUCCCCACCCUUCUCCAGGUACGAGGGCUUGUCUGUGCAGAGGCGUGUCUGGCCACUGCCCGAAGACCCAAUUGUCGCCCCUGACCUUGGGAUGCUGCC
rnacentral:lncRNA from 1 species